CGGCAGCCCUAGUGGUGACCGUUUUUAUUGGGCCUAAAGCGUUCGUAGCCGGAUAGGCAAGUCUUUGGGUAAAUCCUACGUCUUAAGCGUGGGACUUCUAAAGAUACUACCUGUCUUGAGGCCGGGAGAGGCUAGAGGUACUCCUGGGGUAGGGGUAAAAUCCUAUAAUCCCAGGGGGACCACCGAUGGCGAAGGCAUCUAGCUGGAACGGGCCUGACGGUGAGGAACGAAACCCAGGGGAGCGAGCCGGAUUAGAUACCCGAGUAGUCC
rnacentral:rRNA from 1 species